rnacentral:rRNA from 1 species
UACGGGGGGGGUAAGCGUUGUUCGGAAUUACUGGGCGUAAAGCGCGUGUAGGCGGCCCUGCAAGUCGGGUGUGAAAUCCCACGGCUCAACCGUGGAAGUGCACUCGAAACUGCAGGGCUAGAGUCCGGAAGAGGCGAGUGGAAUUCCUGGUGUAGCGGUGAAAUGCGCAGAUAUCAGGAGGAACACCGAUGGCGAAGGCAGCUCGCUGGGACGGUACUGACGCUGAGGCGCGAAAGCGUGGGGAGCAAACAGG